AACGAACGCUGGCGGCAGGCUUAACACAUGCAAGUCGAGCGCCCCGCAAGGGGAGCGGCAGACGGGUGAGUAACGCGUGGGAAUCUACCCAUCUCUACGGAAUAACGCAUGGAAACGUGUGCUAAUACCGUAUACGUCCUUCGGGAGAAAGAUUUAUCGGAGAUGGAUGAGCCCGCGUUGGAUUAGCUAGUUGGUGGGGUAAAGGCCUACCAAGGCGACGAUCCAUAGCUGGUCUGAGAGGAUGAUCAGCCACACUGGGACUGAGACACGGCCCAGAGUCCUACGGGAGGCAGCAGUGGGGAAUAUUGGACAAUGGGCGCAAGCCUGAUCCAGCCAUGCCGCGUGAGUGAUGAAGGCCCUAGGGUUGUAAAGCGCUUUCACCGGUGAAGAUAAUGACGGUAACCGGAGAAGAAGCCCCGGCUAACUUCGUGCCAGCCGCCGCCGUAAGAC
rnacentral:rRNA from 1 species